UUAAGCGACUAAGCGUACACGGUGGAUGCCCUGGCAGUCAGAGGCGAUGAAGGACGUGCUAAUCUGCGAUAAGCGUCGGUAAGGUGAUAUGAACCGUUAUAACCGGCGAUUUCCGAAUGGGGAAACCCAGUGUGUUUCGACACACUAUCAUUAACUGAAUCCAUAGGUUAAUGAGGCGAACCGGGGGAACUGAAACAUCUAAGUACCCCGAGGAAAAGAAAUCAACCGAGAUUCCCCCAGUAGCGGCGAGCGAACGGGGAGCAGCCCAGAGCCUGAAUCAGUGUGUGUGUUAGUGGAAGCGUCUGGAAAGGCGCGCGAUACAGGGUGACAGCCCCGUACACAAAAAUGCACAUGCUGUGAGCUCGAUGAGUAGGGCGGGACACGUGGUAUCCUGUCUGAAUAUGGGGGGACCAUCCUCCAAGGCUAAAUACUCCUGACUGACCGAUAGUGAACCAGUACCGUGAGGGAAAGGCGAAAAGAACCCCGGCGAGGGGAGUGAAAAAGAACCUGAAACCGUGUACGUACAAGCAGUGGGAGCACGCUUAGGCGUGUGACUGCGUACCUUUUGUAUAAUGGGUCAGCGACUUAUAUUCUGUAGCAAGGUUAACCGAAUAGGGGAGCCGAAGGGAAACCGAGUCUUAACUGGGCGUUAAGUUGCAGGGUAUAGACCCGAAACCCGGUGAUCUAGCCAUGGGCAGGUUGAAGGUUGGGUAACACUAACUGGAGGACCGAACCGACUAAUGUUGAAAAAUUAGCGGAUGACUUGUGGCUGGGGGUGAAAGGCCAAUCAAACCGGGAGAUAGCUGGUUCUCCCCGAAAGCUAUUUAGGUAGCGCCUCGUGAAUUCAUCUCCGGGGGUAGAGCACUGUUUCGGCAAGGGGGUCAUCCCGACUUACCAACCCGAUGCAAACUGCGAAUACCGGAGAAUGUUAUCACGGGAGACACACGGCGGGUGCUAACGUCCGUCGUGAAGAGGGAAACAACCCAGACCGCCAGCUAAGGUCCCAAAGUCAUGGUUAAGUGGGAAACGAUGUGGGAAGGCCCAGACAGCCAGGAUGUUGGCUUAGAAGCAGCCAUCAUUUAAAGAAAGCGUAAUAGCUCACUGGUCGAGUCGGCCUGCGCGGAAGAUGUAACGGGGCUAAACCAUGCACCGAAGCUGCGGCAGCGACGCUUAUGCGUUGUUGGGUAGGGGAGCGUUCUGUAAGCCUGUGAAGGUGUGCUGUGAGGCAUGCUGGAGGUAUCAGAAGUGCGAAUGCUGACAUAAGUAACGAUAAAGCGGGUGAAAAGCCCGCUCGCCGGAAGACCAAGGGUUCCUGUCCAACGUUAAUCGGGGCAGGGUGAGUCGACCCCUAAGGCGAGGCCGAAAGGCGUAGUCGAUGGGAAACAGGUUAAUAUUCCUGUACUUGGUGUUACUGCGAAGGGGGGACGGAGAAGGCUAUGUUGGCCGGGCGACGGUUGUCCCGGUUUAAGCGUGUAGGCUGGUUUUCCAGGCAAAUCCGGAAAAUCAAGGCUGAGGCGUGAUGACGAGGCACUACGGUGCUGAAGCAACAAAUGCCCUGCUUCCAGGAAAAGCCUCUAAGCAUCAGGUAACAUCAAAUCGUACCCCAAACCGACACAGGUGGUCAGGUAGAGAAUACCAAGGCGCUUGAGAGAACUCGGGUGAAGGAACUAGGCAAAAUGGUGCCGUAACUUCGGGAGAAGGCACGCUGAUAUGUAGGUGAGGUCCCUCGCGGAUGGAGCUGAAAUCAGUCGAAGAUACCAGCUGGCUGCAACUGUUUAUUAAAAACACAGCACUGUGCAAACACGAAAGUGGACGUAUACGGUGUGACGCCUGCCCGGUGCCGGAAGGUUAAUUGAUGGGGUUAGCGGUAACGCGAAGCUCUUGAUCGAAGCCCCGGUAAACGGCGGCCGUAACUAUAACGGUCCUAAGGUAGCGAAAUUCCUUGUCGGGUAAGUUCCGACCUGCACGAAUGGCGUAAUGAUGGCCAGGCUGUCUCCACCCGAGACUCAGUGAAAUUGAACUCGCUGUGAAGAUGCAGUGUACCCGCGGCAAGACGGAAAGACCCCGUGAACCUUUACUAUAGCUUGACACUGAACAUUGAGCCUUGAUGUGUAGGAUAGGUGGGAGGCUUAGAAGUGUGGACGCCAGUCUGCAUGGAGCCGACCUUGAAAUACCACCCUUUAAUGUUUGAUGUUCUAACGUUGACCCGUAAUCCGGGUUGCGGACAGUGUCUGGUGGGUAGUUUGACUGGGGCGGUCUCCUCCUAAAGAGUAACGGAGGAGCACGAAGGUUGGCUAAUCCUGGUCGGACAUCAGGAGGUUAGUGCAAUGGCAUAAGCCAGCUUGACUGCGAGCGUGACGGCGCGAGCAGGUGCGAAAGCAGGUCAUAGUGAUCCGGUGGUUCUGAAUGGAAGGGCCAUCGCUCAACGGAUAAAAGGUACUCCGGGGAUAACAGGCUGAUACCGCCCAAGAGUUCAUAUCGACGGCGGUGUUUGGCACCUCGAUGUCGGCUCAUCACAUCCUGGGGCUGAAGUAGGUCCCAAGGGUAUGGCUGUUCGCCAUUUAAAGUGGUACGCGAGCUGGGUUUAGAACGUCGUGAGACAGUUCGGUCCCUAUCUGCCGUGGGCGCUGGAGAACUGAGGGGGGCUGCUCCUAGUACGAGAGGACCGGAGUGGACGCAUCACUGGUGUUCGGGUUGUCAUGCCAAUGGCACUGCCCGGUAGCUAAAUGCGGAAGAGAUAAGUGCUGAAAGCAUCUAAGCACGAAACUUGCCCCGAGAUGAGUUCUCCCUGACUCCUUGAGAGUCCUGAAGGAACGUUGAAGACGACGACGUUGAUAGGCCGGGUGUGUAAGCGCAGCGAUGCGUUGAGCUAACCGGUACUAAUGAACCGUGAGGCUUAACCUU
rnacentral:rRNA from 1 species